CGUAGGAGGCAAGCGUUAUCCGAAUUUACUGGGCGUAGAGCGUGUGCAGGCGGCUUGAUAAGUUGGGUGUGAAAUCUCCUGGCUCAACUGGGAGAGGUCGCUCAAGACUGUCGGGCUGGAGGGCAGGAGAGGGUGGUGGAAUUCCCGGUGUAGUGGUGAAAUGCGUAGAGAUCGGGAGGAACACCUGUGGCGAAAGCGGCCACCUGGCCCGUACCUGACGCUGAGACACGAAAGCUAGGGGAGCUAACGG
rnacentral:rRNA from 1 species